UGUCACAGAUGUUUGCAUAUACAGUACAUGGUCCAGCACAUUUUUUUUCUUUCGGGGCAGAAUAAAUGUUGUUGAUAUUUUGGCAAACAUUUUUCACCCACAACAACAAAAAAGACUGCUUCCAGCGAUUGGACAUAGGCCAUCAGGAUACUAGGAAGAGGAGACCGUGUAGCACGUCUUUUCUGCUGAGCUUUGAGAUCCCCCUUUUCUUCCUCUUCUUCAUCACCGGAGCUGCUUUCAGUUAUCCUUGUCAGCAGCAACAACACUGGACACCGCAUGCAAGCCUCUCUCUCUGUCCACUCCAGUUGUCCCAUAUGAAUCCACUGUAACUCCCUCUGAAUAAGAGUGUCUGCUAAAAAAAUAACACAGUCGAUGGGAAAUAUUGGGCCUGGGCCUUUAAAAGGACACCGCAUGCAAGCCUCUCUCUCUGUCCACUCC